UACGAACUACAGUUUAAAAAUUAAAGAUUUUGGCGGUGUCUCAUCGAACCAGGGGAACCUGUCUCAUAACUCGAUAAUCCACGAAAAUCUUACCCUCUCUAGAUCAACCAGCUUGUGUACUGCCGUCGUAAGCACACCUCUAAAAGUACGAGUAUGCAACUAUGUCAAACUCAUAUACGUCAGGUCAAAGUGCAGCUAAUGAAAGGGGCGACGAUGGGUUACACCCUAAAUAAAGAUACGAAAUAUGGCACCAAAAGCCACAUGAAGGUGGACUUGGACGUAACAAAAAUACAAAAUUAAAAUGAAAACGAAUCUGAGACAUGCACACAUCGC
rnacentral:rRNA from 1 species